CCCCAGGGCAGGUCCCUCCCAGGAAGGCGCUGGCAGAGAACCCAUGCAUGAAGGCUGUCAACCAGUCCAUAGAUUCACCUGGAGAAGGUGGGGCCCUCCUGAUGGCAGCCACAUCACUGCCUGCCCCAGUUCCUCCUGUGCCUGAGAAAGUGGGUCCCAUGUGCAGACUUCCGGGUCCACACCAGCUCCCCAGCCCCAGCAGCUGCCAGGAUCCAGGGUCCCCAGCAAAGCCACCAGGAGAGGAUUCAGCUUAUCUCUUGGGAGCAGUGGGUCCUGCCGUGCUGGGCCUGGCCCUGAGCAGCUCAAGCUGGGACUCUUCCCACUCAGCAUGGCCUGAGGUCAGCUUCCUGCCAGCCAUCCAGAGCAACAGCCCCACCCCUCCACAGCAGCCACCUUCCCACAGGCGAAGCCCACCUGCCCCUGCCCUCCCCAGCAGACUUUCAGAGACCCUGUUUCUGUCACUGAGAUGCUCUGUGGAAAGGGACCCUCCCUCCCUCUGGCUGCUCCUGCUCCCAGCAACCCUCCUCUCACCCCAGCCCAGAGAAAGGGGCCUUGCUCCCCUGAGCCUUCUUCUCCACAACCUGGAGCCCACAGGGAGCAGAACUCCUGGCUGCAUGAGACGUGUCUGUCAUGGCCAGCCACCGCCCCUGAUGCACAGCACAUUCAGCUCGGUUCUCAUAUUCCUCUUUAUGGAUUCAUGGAGCUUUUCCUCUCCAGCCUCCUUAGUGAAGACAGCGCUGAGGUGUAGGGGUGGCUCAUGUGGCCACCAUAUCGGCGGAGCCCAGGCACGGCACAGCACCAGGAUGGCCCUACCUCCCUGCUGAUUCCUACAAGCACAGCUGGAGUCAGGCUCAGGGGUGUGGGUGGGCAUGGUGGCCAGGACCCUCGGAUUCCCAGGUGCCCUCCUCAUCCUCUCCAGGGGGCCUGCUGCAGGGAUGGCAGAGGUGGGAUAGAGUUUGACAUGCAAGCAAAGGCUCCUCCCAGGCCCUUGCUGGCUGCUGUCCCCGCACAUUGCCAGACAUGUCUGGGGAGGGAAAAGCCUUGUGAGGGAGGGAGGUCAGGCACAGGGUCACCCACUCCUGGAGAUGGGGAUGUGCAGAAUACCCCAGGUCC
rnacentral:lncRNA from 1 species